rnacentral:tRNA from 1 species
GCGCCCGUAGCUUAGCUGGACAAAAGCGUCUGGCUACGAACUAGAAGAUCGGGAGUUCAAAUCUCUGUGGGCGUG